CAGACACACAAACAAGCUCUGGUCAAACCAAACCAACUUCCCCCAUAAGUGCCUUCCUCAUCCUGUCUAUUGGCUCAGGGCCUUUGCACAUGCUAUGUGCCCUAUGCUAUGGGCCAAGAAUCUCUAGGUGGAUGAAACUGUCCAGGUCCCCUCUGGUUUUACCAUCAGAUUGGGAGAGAAGAGUGAAGCCUUCCUAGGUACAGGGUUAGGUGCCAUUUAUUGGAGAUUCUGUGGAACCCUGGGAUAUUGUAGCCAUGGCACUUAGCCAGUUUACCAUAAUUUCUUGGUAACUUGUCCUUCUUUCCCACUAGACUAUUCCUAAAGACGUGUCUUAUUGGUCCUUAGAUUUCCCAGCAUAAAGCAUCAUUAACACAGCUCACGGCAACUCCGGAUCCUUAACCCACUGAGCGAGGCCAGGGAUCAAACCCACAACUUCAUGGUUCCUAGUUGAAUUCAUUUCCACUGUGCCACGACGGGAACUCUAGCCAGUGCAAUUUAAACAGUAUUACUAAUUGUAAUAUAGGAGUGACUAGUCUAGGUCGUAGAUAUUCUGGUUUGUCUUGUCUGAUCUUAGGUGAUUUAAUUUCUUGGCUACUUUAUUACUUAGAAAUGCUUUCUCAGCCUUGGGUCCUCAUCAGUAAAAUGGAGAAAAAGUGGAAUGAUGUAUUGCAGUCAUUUGCUUUCUUCCCUGAUAGACCAGAAAUUUUCUCACUUUUUUUAGAUCCUGAAUAUCUCCUCUGGCUUGUCAAUAGGCAGAUGGUAAAUAGUUAACUGAAUUGAAAUCAAGGAGAAUAGACUUGUUAAUUGGACCUGAAUUAAAAUAUUCUAGCACCUCACAAAAUUAGAGAUGACUUUCUUUUCUGGGCUGGACCUUGCACUCUUUCUUUUAAUUAAAGAGAGACAAGUUUCAGAAGUCGGCCAGAAUGUUUUUACUACCCCUUUGUUUUUUUGGGGGGGUUAUUUGUUUGCUUUUUAGGGCCACACCUGUGGUGUACUAGAGCGAAUAGAGGUUCCUAAGCUAGGGGUUGAAUCAGAGUGGAGCUGCAGCUGCUGGCUUACACAACCACAGCAAUGCCAGAUCCAGGCUGCGUCUGUGCCAUAGCUUGCAGCAAUGUGGGAUCCUUAACCCCCUGAGCAAGGCCAGGAAUCGAACCUACAUCCUCAGAUCCUAGUCGGGUUAGUAACCUGCUGAGCCACGAUGGGAACUCUCUUUACUACCUCUUUGUUUUAUCAAAGACAAUGCCAAGACAAAUGCAGAUAUUUCUGUUAAUGCUUUUGGACCUCAGCUAAACCUGAGAUUUCUUCCUAAUGCUGUUGGACCCAGGGAUUCCUCGAUUUUGAGAGCAGACAUAGGUGUUUAUCUGAGGCUCACACCAAACUGUCAUGGAGUAGAGGGAGGUUGGGCUAGGGAGGGGUCUCACACUUGAUUUCCUUGUGGAGAAACUGAUGGCCUGUAAUCCUUUCAUUUCAUUUGGGCCUCGGACGGGGAGUAUUUCUCUUGAUUUUCAGUAGAAAUGCAAAAGGGCCAGCCAGCAUGCUUUCUAAAUAAAGAUGGACUUUGGACUGGAAAUUUGCAGUCCAAAUUACAUGUGGACUUUCUUGGUCCACAUGUAACUUCUCUCCUGCAGAAGGACAUGCAGAUCUUGGUGUAUUUGCUUUAGAAAAACAGACACUAUUAAUAUUCUACCUGUUCCCU
ensembl:lncRNA